UAAUGGUGGUGGUUGAUCAGUUUUGUAAACGCAACCUGAG
rnacentral:rRNA from 1 species